AUUGAACGCUAGCGGGAUGCCUUACACAUGCAAGUCGAACGGCAGCGCGGACUUCGGUCUGGCGGCGAGUGGCGAACGGGUGAGUAAUGUAUCGGAACGUGCCCAGUAGCGGGGGAUAACUACUCGAAAGAGUAGCUAAUACCGCAUACGCCCUACGGGGAAAGGGGGGAGUCGCAAGACCUCUCACUAUUGGAGCGGCCGAUAUCGGAUUAGCUAGUUGGUGAGGUAAAGGCUCACCAAGGCGACGAUCCGUAGCUGGUUUGAGAGGACGACCAGCCACACUGGGACUGAGACACGGCCCAGACUCCUACGGGAGGCAGCAGUGGGGAAUUUUGGACAAUGGGGGAAACCCUGAUCCAGCCAUUCCGCGUGUGCGAUGAAGGCCUCGGUGUAACUGCUUUGUACGGAACGAAAAGGUUACGUAUUAAUACUAGAGCUCAUGACGGUACCGUAA
rnacentral:rRNA from 1 species